GUAAGCUUGAAAGCCUAACAGAUUAGGAGUCUGAAAAUAUAGAUUCAAAUUUUACCUUAGUUAUUUGUUUUCUACUCAACUUUUUUUCUUACUAUUCUUCUUGAAAUUUAGCAUUUUCUUCAUUUGAGAAGUGUUCUCAAGCUGCAAUAGACUGCAAAAAAUGUAAAUGAUUCAAAAGAGAAAAGUAAGAACUUCUGGGCCAGGUUAAAGCUGGACCUGCAGGUGAUUCCAGUUUAGAAAAAAACCAUACUGUAACAAUCUACAAAUAAUUUAAAUUAUCUAACAUUUUUCUAUUUUGAAUAUCUACAUGUCCAAAUCUUCCUUUGGUAUCAUUUCAUUGGUAAUACGAUGAAGGUGUAUUUAUUCUCAUAAAAAUAACAUAUACACAGAAAAUUAAUCACAUUCAAUGAAAAUAUGUUAUUAAAUGACUUUUUUGUUAGCCUAUCUAGGUUUCCAUUUAUUUGCAGAAGCAUUUUGCAAACAUAUAGCUCAUUCCAAAUUAGAGACUCAAAGAAUUUCGAUAUUGCCACAUAAAAAGCAUCACUAAUAUAUUCCCCUUACCCAUGCAUAUUAUGAGAAUACUGUAAAUACAAAAUUAACACUUCAAGUUAAUUUACCUCUCUCACCAUUGGAUAAUUAGCACAAAUUAAAUUUAUGCUAAUUUUACAGAGAAGAUAGCAUGCAAUAUGGAAAUUUUGAAUUUCUGCUGAUUAUGAGGAAAGUAUACGCACACUAACAGUAUAUCUUAUUUUGAUAAGAUUACCUGACAAAAAACCUACAAAAACAUUUUAUUACAAUGUUUCAUAAUGUGAAUCAAACAUGCCACUGAAAAUGAGAUUGCACAAAGAUAAUUUUUCAUUCUAGGUAUCAAGCUUCAAAAUAAUUCUGUUGAUUCAUCUGCAUUGCAAUUAGUCAUUUAGUCAGCUGGGAAAUUAAGGUAGUUGAGAAAUUCUGUGCUGACCUUUCAUGGUUGUAUUCUUAGAUUUGUGUUCAUACUUUGGCCUAGAUUUUCUCUGGUGGUGCCAGAAUUGUUAAAUUAAUCAAAUAUACAUCAACUGGAUAACUAUGAAAAAUAAAGGAAAAACUACACAGUGGCAAUGUAUUUAAACUGUCAUUUGAACAAUAAUUUCUUGUUUUAAUUCAAAUAAAUACUUUAAAUUAUUUUUAAGGCUGUGUAUAUUCAAUAUGUUCAUCUUCAUUUUGAAAAAAAAUAGAAUUCAAAUCUGUAUUUCAUUUUAGCUAUCUUUAAAGGUUUCUUCCUACUCAUGAAAUCACUGGGUGGCAUUCCAUAGGAAUUCAUGGGUAUAUUCCAGAGUCUAGUUCUUUCUUGCUUUUCAGUAUAUAGAUUUUCAUUUGUAGCUUUUGUAUUUUAUUUUAUAUAUGUGAAAACAUUCUGAAGAGAGUUCUCUAAGUUUCACUACAUUUCUAAAGGGAUCCAUAAAAUAAAGGAAGAUUAAGAAUUCUUGCUCUAAGUCAUUCAAUUGUGCCAAAAAUGGUAACAGUUGUUUAAAUAUCUUUCAGGAUAUUAUUGUGCACCUAUGGAGAGUAGAAACAUCAUAAAGAAUAUCCCUUAAGAGGCUGCUCAUUGGAAAUUUUCAUAACUGAUUUACAGCACCUAAGAGGUGCUCUUCCCAUAAUAUAUCACUUCAUGCAUCUACAAUCCACCAGGACAAUUUAUAAACAUCUUGAUUUACUGUUCUGUCAAGAGCUUCCAAGUACAGUUUUUUUUAAGUCUCUGAAAAUACCUGGUUUUAUAGAUUUUCUGCUUUUCUUUGUCUUUCUAGUAAAAGUAGUAAAAAAAAAAUGUUCUCCCUAAUAUUUAUGAAGAUCUCUUAAAUAUAGUGUCAAGUCUUUGAAAACAAUAAUUCUGAAUUUUAAAUAAUCCCAUUUGAACUUUGUUAUUACUAUUCUUUGUAUUUCAUUCUUGAAGAGGAUCAAUAGCAUCCCUUUCCCCCUGCAACUAGAUUAGAAUUUGUUAUUCAUUCUUUCCAAGACUAGAAUAUUUCAAUCAUAAUAUUUCUUAAUCUCUAAAUGAAUUCUGAUAGUCUUUUAAUUUGCUACUACUCUUGCUACUUUUCUCAUUUAAAUAGUCAACAUCUUGGUUCAAGUUCAAGUCUCUUUAUAGUUAAAAUAGACUUUUGGUCAGCUAGAAUUUAAUUCAAUUAACAAGAGUAUUAACAAGAUUACAUCAAAUGGGACUUUGCCCAGUAAACAAAGAAUUUGGAUCUGUCCCUUCUUCUCACAGAGGUCCAAAGUCUAUUAAUACUAUAACUUGCAAUUCAUAAUUCUAUGACAUGUAUCCACAAUUGCCAUACCUGCCUUCUUUUUCAGAUAAUUUUUUUCAGAUCUAUCCAUCUUCUAUUCUUGUCUAAUUGUAUAUCUCACUUAUAAAUUCAAAGCUAUUAGUUAAAGUUCUUUGAUGUCAUUAAAUUUUGAUUAUACAAUCAAUAAGUAGAACUAUAUUCCUAAGGAAGUUGUUAAUUGACAUGCAUGUACAUGUCAAACAUAUGUUUCUGUAUAUCUAUCCAUCUCGUUGUUUUUCAGUUGUUUCAGUCAAGUCUAACUUUUCAUGACCCCAUUUUAGGAGUUCUUGAUAAGAAGGAGUUCAUUUCCUUCUCUAGCUAUUUUAUAAAUGAGAAACUGAAGCAAACUGAGCUAAAUACACAGAGUGACACAGCUAGCCAGGGUUUAAGACCAGAUUUGAAUUUAGGAAGAUGAAUCUUUCUGGCUCAGGACUGGCAUUCUGUCCUUUAUACCACUUAAUUCUGCAUAUAUUUUCAUGCACACAGGCACACCUAGAUGUGUUUCACACAUAUUGCAUGUAUGCAUAUA
rnacentral:lncRNA from 1 species